rnacentral:rRNA from 1 species
UACGUAGGGUGCAAGCGUUAUCCGGAAUUAUUGGGCGUAAAGAGCUCGUAGGCGGUUUGUCGCGUCUGCUGUGAAAACCGGAGGCUCAACCUCCGGCCUGCAGUGGGUACGGGCAAACUAGAGUGCGGUAGGGGAGAUUGGAAUUCCUGGUGUAGCGGUGGAAUGCGCAGAUAUCAGGAGGAACACCGGUGGCGAAGGCGGUUCUCUGGGCCUGUACUGACGCUGAGGAGCGAAAGCGUGGGGAGCGAACAGG